rnacentral:ncRNA from 1 species
UGAACGAAGAGUUUGAUCCUGGCUCAGGAUGAACGCUGACAGAAUGCUUAACACAUGCAAGUCAACUUGAAUUUGGGUUUUUAACUUAGGUUUGGGUGGCGGACGGGUGAGUAACGCGUAAAGAACUUGCCUCACAGUUAGGGACAACAUUUGGAAACGAAUGCUAAUACCUAAUAUUAUGAUAAUAGGGCAUCCUAUAAUUAUGAAAGCUAUAAGCGCUGUGAGAGAGCUUUGCGUCCCAUUAGCUAGUUGGAGAGGUAACGGCCCACCAAGGCGAUGAUGGGUAGCCGGCCUGAGAGGGUGAUCGGCCACAAGGGGACUGAGACACGGCCCUUACUCCUACGGGAGGCAGCAGUGGGGAAUAUUGGACAAUGGACCAAGAGUCUGAUCCAGCAAUUCUGUGUGCACGAUGAAGUUUUUCGGAAUGUAAAGUGCUUUCAGUUGGGAAGAAAGAAAUGACGGUACCAACAGAAGAAGUGACGGCUAAAUACGUGCCAGCAGCCGCGGUAAUACGUAUGUCACGAGCGUUAUCCGGAUUUAUUGGGCGUAAAGCGCGUCUAGGUGGUUAUGUAAGUCUGAUGUGAAAAUGCAGGGCUCAACUCUGUAUUGCGUUGGAAACUGUAUAACUAGAGUACUGGAGAGGUAAGCGGAACUACAAGUGUAGAGGUGAAAUUCGUAGAUAUUUGUAGGAAUGCCGAUGGGGAAGCCAGCUUACUGGACAGAUACUGACGCUGAAGCGCGAAAGCGUGGGUAGCAAACAGGAUUAGAUACCCUGGUAGUCCACGCCGUAAACGAUGAUUACUAGGUGUUGGGGGUCGAACCUCAGCGCCCAAGCAAACGCGAUAAGUAAUCCGCCUGGGGAGUACGUACGCAAGUAUGAAACUCAAAGGAAUUGACGGGGACCCGCACAAGCGGUGGAGCAUGUGGUUAAUUCGACGCACGCGAGACCUACCAGCGUUGACAUCGACCCGAGUCUU